GUGCCAGCCGCCGCGGUAAUACCCGCAGCCCAAGUGGUGGUCGCGAUUAUUGGGCCUAAAGCGCUCGUAGCCGGGUCAGCAAGUCCCUUGUGAAAUCGGGCGGCCUAACCGUUCGGCUUGCAAGGGAUACUGUUGGUCUUGAGGCCGGGAGACGUCUGAGGUACUCCGGGGGUAGCGGUAAAAUGCUGUAAUCCUCGGGGGACCACCAGUGGCGAAGGCGUCAGACGAGAACGGACCUGACGGUGAGGGGCGAAGGCUAGGGGAGCGAACGGGAUUAGAUACCCCGGUAGUCCUAGCUGUAAAGCAUGCGGGCCAGGUGUCUGGUGUUCCUCGAGAGCACCAAGUGCCGGAGGGAAGCCGUUAAGCCCGCCGCCUGGGAAGUACGGUCGCAAGGCUGAAACUUAAAUGAAUUGACGGGG
rnacentral:rRNA from 1 species